AGAACGAACGCUGGCGGCAUGCCUAAUACAUGCAAGUCGAACGAACUCUUCGGAGUUAGUGGCGCACGGGUGCGUAACGCGUGGGAAUCUGCCCCUUGGUUCGGAAUAACAGUUGGAAACGACUGCUAAUACCGGAUGAUGACGAAAGUCCAAAGAUUUAUCGCCAAGGGAUGAGCCCGCGUAGGAUUAGCUAGUUGGUGAGGUAAAGGCUCACCAAGGCAACGAUCCUUAGCUGGUCUGAGAGGAUGAUCAGCCACACUGGGACUGAGACACGGCCCAGACUCCUACGGGAGCAGCAGUAGGGAAUAUGGACAAUGGGCGAAAGCCUGAUCCAGCAAUGCCGCGUGAGCGAUGAAGGCCUUAGGUUGUAAAGCUUCUUUACCCGAGAUGAUAAUGACAGUAGUCGGAA
rnacentral:rRNA from 1 species